UACGUAGGUGACCAGCGUUGUCCGGAUUUACUGGGCGUAAAGAGCGCGCAGGCGGUCGUUCAAGUCGAGUGUGAAAGCCCCCGGCUCAACUGGGGAGGGUCACUCGAUACUGAUCGACUUGAAGGCAGGAGAGGGAAGCGGAAUUCCCGGUGUAGUGAUGAAAUGCGUAGAUAUCGGGAGGAACACCAGUGGCGAAGGCGGCUUCCUGGCCUGUUCUUGACGCUGAGGCGCGAAAGCUAGGGGAGCAAACGGG
rnacentral:rRNA from 1 species